UACGGCCAUACUAGCCUGAAUACGCCUGAUCUCGUCUGAUCUCGGGAGAAAGCAUUCUGACAGAGUCCCAUGCUUACACAAUAAUGGGAUGAGCCCUUAU
rnacentral:rRNA from 1 species